AGAGUUUGAUCAUGGCUCAGAUUGAACGCUGGCGGCAUGCCUUACACAUGCAAGUCGAACGGCAGCACGGAGCUUGCUCUGGUGGCGAGUGGCGAACGGGUGAGUAAUAUAUCGGAACGUACCCUGGAGUGGGGGAUAACGUAGCGAAAGUUACGCUAAUACCGCAUACGAUCUAAGGAUGAAAGUGGGGGAUCGCAAGACCUCAUGCUCGUGGAGCGGCCGAUAUCUGAUUAGCUAGUUGGUAGGGUAAAAGCCUACCAAGGCAUCGAUCAGUAGCUGGUCUGAGAGGACGACCAGCCACACUGGAACUGAGACACGGUCCAGACUCCUACGGGAGGCAGCAGUGGGGAAUUUUGGACAAUGGGCGAAAGCCUGAUCCAGCAAUGCCGCGUGAGUGAAGAAGGCCUUCGGGUUGUAAAGCUCUUUUUUCAGGGAAGAAACGGUGAGAGCUAAUAUCUCUUGCUAAUGACGGUACCUGAAGAAUAAGCUCCGGCUAACUACGUGCCAGCAGCCGCGGUAAUACGUAGGGUGCAAGCGUUAAUCGGAAUUACUGGGCGUAAAGCGUGCGCAGGCGGUUUUGUAAGUCUGAUGUGAAAUCCCCGGGCUCAACCUGGGAAUUGCAUUGGAGACUGCAAGGCUAGAAUCUGGCAGAGGGGGGUAGAAUUCCACGUGUAGCAGUGAAAUGCGUAGAUAUGUGGAGGAACACCGAUGGCGAANGCAGCCCCCUGGGUCAAGAUUGACGCUCAUGCACGAAAGCGUGGGGAGCAAACAGGAUUAGAUACCCUGGUAGUCCACGCCCUAAACGAUGUCUACUAGUUGUCGGGUCUUAAUUGACUUGGUAACGCAGCUAACGCGUGAAGUAGACCGCCUGGGGAGU
rnacentral:rRNA from 1 species